rnacentral:rRNA from 1 species
CCUACGGGAGGCUGCAGUGAGGAAUAUUGGUCAAUGGGCUUACGCCUGAACCAGCCAAGUCGCGUGAGGGAAGACUGCCCUAUGGGUUGUAAACCUCUUUUGUCAGGGAGCAAUUGGCGCUACGUGUAGCGUUAUCGAGAGUACCUGAAGAAAAAGCAUCGGCUAACUCCGUGCCAGCAGCCGCGGUAAUACGUAGGGGGCAAGGGUUAUCCGGAAUUACUGGGUGUAAAGGAAGCGUAGACGGUAAUGCAAGUCUGGAGUGAAAGGCGGGGGCCCAACCCCCGGACUGCUCUGGAAACUGUGUAACUGGAGUGCAGGAGAGGCAGGCGGAAUUCCUAGUGUAGCGGUGAAAUGCGUAGAUAUAUGGAGGAACACCAGUGGCGAAGGCGACGAUCUGGCCUGCAACUGACGCUCAGUCCCGAAAGCGUGGGGAGCAAAUAGGAUUAGAUACCCUAGUAGUC